UACCCCAGCCCCAUCCCAAGCCAAGCAGGAGUCACACCAAGCUGAAGUCUGGCGGGAGUUGGGAGAGGAGGAAAAGGAGGGAGGAGAAGCGGGAGGGGGUGGGGACGCACACCACAGGCCUCAUCCCACUUUCUGCGGGUUUGAAGCCCUCACCCCCUGCUCGUAGGUGACCCGCUGGCUGAUGAGGUAUUGAGCGGCUUGCGUGGCCGCGGGGCUGCCCGUGAUGGUGACCCGCCGGUUCCGCGUGCCGGGCAGGAACUCGCCCUUCUUGGAGAUCUGGAUGCGCGCGCCCGUCAGCUCCUGGUACUCCACCAGCGUCUUGCCCCCUUUGCCCAGGAUGGCCCCCACCAGGUUCUCGGGCACCGCGAUCUCCACCAGCUCCUUGGCGCUCUCGGCCGCCAGCUUCUCGGCCGUCAGGAAGCCGCCGGCAGCCCCGGCCGCAGCCGCGGCGGCCACCAGGGGCGCGCCCCCCGCUCCAGCCGCGCCCCCCGCUCCCGCACCGAGGUAGCCAUUGGCGGCCGC
rnacentral:lncRNA from 1 species